rnacentral:rRNA from 1 species
AACGAACGCUGGCGGCAUGCCUAACACAUGCAAGUCGAACGAUACCUUCGGGUCUAGUGGCGCACGGGAGCGUAACGCGAGGGAACCUGCCUUUAGGAUCGGAAUAACUCUCCGAAAGGGGUGCUAAUACCGGAUAAUGUCUUCGGACGAAAGAUAUAUUGCCAUGGGCUGGGCUCUCGUUGGAUUAGCUGUUUGGUAGUGUAAAAGCCUACCAAGGCGACGAUCCAUAGCUGGGUUGAGAGGAUGCCCAGCCACACUGGGACUGCGACCCGGCCCAGACCCCUACGGAAGGCAGCAGAAGGGAAUAUUGGACGCUGGGCGAAAGCCUGACCCCGCCACGCCGCGUGAGUGAUGAAGGCCUUAGGAUUGUCAAGCUCUCUUACCCGGGAUGAUAAUGACAGUACCGGGAGAAUAAGCGCCGGCUAACUCCGUG